rnacentral:rRNA from 1 species
GGGUUGUGAGGUUAAGCGACUAAGCGUACACGGUGGAUGCCCUGGCAGUCAGAGGCGAUGAAGGACGUGCUAAUCUGCGAUAAGCGUCGGUGAGGUGAUAUGAACCGUUAUAACCGGCGAUUUCCGAAUGGGGAAACCCAGUGUGUUUCGACACACUAUCAUUAACUGAAUCCAUAGGUUAAUGAGGCGAACCGGGGGAACUGAAACAUCUAAGUACCCCGAGGAAAAGAAAUCAACCGAGAUUCCCCCAGUAGCGGCGAGCGAACGGGGAGGAGCCCAGAGCCUGAAUCAGUGUGUGUGUUAGUGGAAGCGUCUGGAAAGGCGCGCGAUACAGGGUGACAGCCCCGUACACAAAAAUGCACAUAUUGUGAGCUCGAUGAGUAGGGCGGGACACGUGGUAUCCUGUCUGAAUAUGGGGGGACCAUCCUCCAAGGCUAAAUACUCCUGACUGACCGAUAGUGAACCAGUACCGUGAGGGAAAGGCGAAAAGAACCCCGGCGAGGGGAGUGAAAAAGAACCUGAAACCGUGUACGUACAAGCAGUGGGAGCCUCUUAAUGGGGUGACUGCGUACCUUUUGUAUAAUGGGUCAGCGACUUAUAUUCUGUAGCAAGGUUAACCGAAUAGGGGAGCCGAAGGGAAACCGAGUCUUAACUGGGCGUUAAGUUGCAGGGUAUAGACCCGAAACCCGGUGAUCUAGCCAUGGGCAGGUUGAAGGUUGGGUAACACUAACUGGAGGACCGAACCGACUAAUGUUGAAAAAUUAGCGGAUGACUUGUGGCUGGGGGUGAAAGGCCAAUCAAACCGGGAGAUAGCUGGUUCUCCCCGAAAGCUAUUUAGGUAGCGCCUCGUGAAUUCAUCUCCGGGGGUAGAGCACUGUUUCGGCAAGGGGGUCAUCCCGACUUACCAACCCGAUGCAAACUGCGAAUACCGGAGAAUGUUAUCACGGGAGACACACGGCGGGUGCUAACGUCCGUCGUGAAGAGGGAAACAACCCAGACCGCCAGCUAAGGUCCCAAAGUCAUGGUUAAGUGGGAAACGAUGUGGGAAGGCCCAGACAGCCAGGAUGUUGGCUUAGAAGCAGCCAUCAUUUAAAGAAAGCGUAAUAGCUCACUGGUCGAGUCGGCCUGCGCGGAAGAUGUAACGGGGCUAAACCAUGCACCGAAGCUGCGGCAGCGACACUAUGUGUUGUUGGGUAGGGGAGCGUUCUGUAAGCCUGUGAAGGUGGCCUGUGAGGGGUGCUGGAGGUAUCAGAAGUGCGAAUGCUGACAUAAGUAACGAUAAAGCGGGUGAAAAGCCCGCUCGCCGGAAGACCAAGGGUUCCUGUCCAACGUUAAUCGGGGCAGGGUGAGUCGACUCCUAAGGCGAGGCCGAAAGGCGUAGUCGAUGGGAAACAGGUUAAUAUUCCUGUACUUGGUGUUACUGCGAAGGGGGGACGGAGAAGGCUAUGUUGGCCGGGCGACGGUUGUCCCGGUUUAAGCGUGUAGGCUGGUUUUCCAGGCAAAUCCGGAAAACCAAGGCUGAGGCGUGAUGACGAGGCACUACGGUGCUGAAGUGACAAAUGCCCUGCUUCCAGGAAAAGCCUCUAAGCAUCAGGUAACAUCAAAUCGUACCCCAAACCGACACAGGUGGUCAGGUAGAGAAUACCAAGGCGCUUGAGAGAACUCGGGUGAAGGAACUAGGCAAAAUGGUGCCGUAACUUCGGGAGAAGGCACGCUGAUAUGUAGGUGAAGCGACUUGCUCGUGGAGCUGAAAUCAGUCGAAGAUACCAGCUGGCUGCAACUGUUUAUUAAAAACACAGCACUGUGCAAACACGAAAGUGGACGUAUACGGUGUGACGCCUGCCCGGUGCCGGAAGGUUAAUUGAUGGGGUUAGCGGUAACGCGAAGCUCUUGAUCGAAGCCCCGGUAAACGGCGGCCGUAACUAUAACGGUCCUAAGGUAGCGAAAUUCCUUGUCGGGUAAGUUCCGACCUGCACGAAUGGCGUAAUGAUGGCCAGGCUGUCUCCACCCGAGACUCAGUGAAAUUGAACUCGCUGUGAAGAUGCAGUGUACCCGCGGCAAGACGGAAAGACCCCGUGAACCUUUACUAUAGCUUGACACUGAACAUUGAGCCUUGAUGUGUAGGAUAGGUGGGAGGCUUUGAAGUGUGGACGCCAGUCUGCAUGGAGCCGACCUUGAAAUACCACCCUUUAAUGUUUGAUGUUCUAACGUUGGCCCGUAAUCCGGGUUGCGGACAGUGUCUGGUGGGUAGUUUGACUGGGGCGGUCUCCUCCUAAAGAGUAACGGAGGAGCACGAAGGUUGGCUAAUCCUGGUCGGACAUCAGGAGGUUAGUGCAAUGGCAUAAGCCAGCUUGACUGCGAGCGUGACGGCGCGAGCAGGUGCGAAAGCAGGUCAUAGUGAUCCGGUGGUUCUGAAUGGAAGGGCCAUCGCUCAACGGAUAAAAGGUACUCCGGGGAUAACAGGCUGAUACCGCCCAAGAGUUCAUAUCGACGGCGGUGUUUGGCACCUCGAUGUCGGCUCAUCACAUCCUGGGGCUGAAGUAGGUCCCAAGGGUAUGGCUGUUCGCCAUUUAAAGUGGUACGCGAGCUGGGUUUAGAACGUCGUGAGACAGUUCGGUCCCUAUCUGCCGUGGGCGCUGGAGAACUGAGGGGGGCUGCUCCUAGUACGAGAGGACCGGAGUGGACGCAUCACUGGUGUUCGGGUUGUCAUGCCAAUGGCACUGCCCGGUAGCUAAAUGCGGAAGAGAUAAGUGCUGAAAGCAUCUAAGCACGAAACUUGCCCCGAGAUGAGUUCUCCCUGAGACUUAGAGUCUCCUGAAGGAACGUUGAAGACGACGACGUUGAUAGGCCGGGUGUGUAAGCGCAGCGAUGCGUUGAGCUAACCGGUACUAAUGAACCGUGAGGCUUAACCUUACAACGCCGAAG